rnacentral:lncRNA from 1 species
GGAGGGGAGGGGAGGGGGAUUGAGUCAGUGCGUGUCAAUAUACGUAUACAUAUAUAUAGAGAGAGAGAGGAUAGCUGUAAGAAAGGACCAAAAGCUAUACCAUUUAAAAACUCUAUAUAUGUAACUGUACAAGAAGAGGGAGAGGAGAACAUUUAUAUCAUUGCAUACAUAUAUAUAUACACAUACCUAUAUGAUGAGGCCAUGAAGGAGAGACAGAUCUAGAGACAGAAUCACGAGAGGAGUUUUCAAACCAUACAUACAUAUAUAUAUAUAUAUAUAUAUAUAUGUAUAUAAAUAUAGAUAUAUAAUUACAUGCAUGGCUUGUGUUCUUUGCAGAUUCAUCAUCAGCUUACUCCCCCUUAAAGUUAAAGGCUCCCCAAAAUACACCUAUUUAAAUUCACCGCCUCUCUUUAAUUGGUGUAUGAUGAGCAUAUGAAAACUCUAUUCGUCUCCAGUGGCCGGGCCAGUUAAUUAUAUAUGUUGGUUUGAGAGAUUGAAGCUGCCAGCAUGAUCUGGUAACAACUAUAUAUCUACCUACCCAUCUUAAUCCUCGAUCGUUAAUUAAGCUGUGUUUGUGAGUUUUGUUUCGGAGAGAUAAAAGAAGAAAGUUCUUCAUUUUAAUUUUUUUAAUUAUAUCUUAUAUAUAUCUACCUACCUAACCCAUAUUUCUUUCUUUCCCCUUCUCUUUCUUUCUUUUCGCAAUUUAAAUUCCACAUGAUGAAUCACCAAAAUUUAUCUGUCGAUUUUUCUUAAUUUGUGUUUGUGAGUUUUGUUUCGGAGGAGAGUACUAAAGUGAAGGAAAUUAAAGAGAUAGCAACAGAAACUUUUUCACUACAUUUUUUUUUAAAAUAAAGAAGAAUUUUAUCUUCUCAUUCAUUCCAUUCCCCACAAAAUAAAAUCACAAUCAUGGGUUAAGGCUUAAGUUAUAUCAAAUUCAUCAAUUUUCUUGAUAUAUAUAUAUAUAUAGAGAGAGAGAGAGAGUAAGUUGGUUUUUAGAAUGGUGGGAUAUAGAGUUGGGGUAUAUUUGUUUGGUUCAUAGAUAGAUAUGGUUCCAUCAGGUCAUCUUGCAGCUUCAAUCACUCAUUCACCAACAGUCAAUACAAUUACCUCUUUUUUCCCUAAUUAAUACAAUUCAUGGAUUCUGCAAGUAAUGGUACUCUUCCAGACUCUCUCUCAAUAUAUAUACAUAUAUUUAUGUAUAUCUUUUUCUCUCUUUAGAUAUCUUUAUGUUUGUGUGUACUUGUUUGUCUUUAGUAUAUAUAUAUAUAUAUAUAUAUAUGCAGAUCAAUAUAUCAAUGAGACAACAAGUAAGGACAAAAUCCCAAGACACGAGAAAGACAUGCUUCUGUCUUUCUCUUCCUUGUUUUGCUGGAGAAUUUGAGGGUGUUUUCCAGAUAAGUUCAAGCCAGAAUGAUUGUGUUCGUUCGAAAUCAGGUUUUGAUCAUGUAUAAUUAAUUAAUGUAGUAAAAAUGGUUAGGUUUCUUUCUUUAAGUCUAUGACGGCAUUAUCCCUAUCGUCUUUUGGAUUUGCCUCAAUCUGUAUGACUUUGGGUUUCAUUAAAAUUUAUUUUUGCCGAUCAAAAAAAAAUCUACUAAAAUCCCAAUGUUAUUGUAGUAACGGCCUUAACUUCCUUGUAAUGUUUCUAGGGCUACACAAUUUUUAGAUUAUUAGAAAGAAAAUUUGGGAUAAUACCAUGUAAUUAACAUCUUAAUUAAAUGAAGAUAAGUGAGACUAUUGCUAGAACCACAGUACGUACCCUUUUAUGAAAUGUGGAUUAAUUAAAAAAUUUGUAUUUUCAAAUAAGGGAUUUAAUUUGUUGAAAUUCAUUUCAUUAGUAGCUAUAGGCAUAAAAUGAAUAUAUUCUGAAUGAAGUACAUUGUUUUGCCAUAUAUGUCCUUCAUUGUGUAAUUGGUAUCUAGAGUUGAAUUAAUAAUUAGGAUAUAUUAAUCAUGUUGAGUAAAUAUGUAUGUAUGAAGUGGAAUUAAUAUAUAUAAAGAAGAAAAAAAAAAGAGAAAAACAAAAAAUUAAAGCAACAUAUAUCAAUAUAUAAAGAGAUGGAUGUUAUAAUGCUGUUUAAGUAUUACUAACUAUUAAUAAAAGUUAUUGACAGUUUAACAGAGGUAAUUAGCAAUAAAAAAUUAUAUGUUUUUCAUUAUUAAUUAUAAUUAUGACUAAGUUUUACUUGGUAAUGUUAAAUGAUUACUUCUAUGCAAGUAGUGUUUGUUCAUGCAUAUAUAUGAUGGAGUUCUAUUCUCGAUCAUCUUUUAAGUUUUUCUGUCCUUGGAAAUUUUACUCUAUCGGCCUCUCUUCCUUCCACCAGAAUUAGUAUCUGUUUCUGCAGAAUAAUCGCGUUAUUGCCUCUAAAUUGGGCUCUUAAGGCAUGAAACUUGGGAAGGAGGAUGACACAGUCAGAAUAGGAAAUUGAAGGAAUUUCAAGUCUAAAAAGGUUUAACACUGUUUUUGUCAUAACUUUUGAUCUGUUUGAAGUUGCGGGGCUUAUAAUAUAUCAAAUCAAAACUUACGACGAGCUCUACCAGUCUAUCACCUUUGGUCAUGAAGGAUACCGUAGAAAUCCCAAAAGACGCCUGGAAACAUGUGUUUGGGCCUUCCGAAGUUAAUUUUGGGUUUAUUUGGACUAUUUUGUGUUUUAAUUAUUCUUUGCUUGUUUUUGAAGGAUGUUAUCAUGUGUUUUAUGGUUAACUUUUAUUUACUCAGAUUUUAUAAAUAUUGUGACUGCUUGGUCAAUUUAUCCAAUUUUAUAAAUUUUUGUGAUUGUAAAGGUUAUAUCUUUGAGUCGAGGUGUUUGUGGCAGUUAAAGGAAGGUGGAAAGGCAAUCAAUGUUUCAUUAUGGCAAUCUGAUUUUUAUUUGUAUUUUUUUGAUUGUAUAAUUUUAUUCAAAUCUUUCCUCAUCUUGAUCUUGUACUCCUUCAAGUGUCAUAGAAAAUAGAGGGUUAUUUUUACUUUCCAACUAAAGAAGUGGAAUCUUAAAUACUAUAUGUGAUCAAUCCCAGAUUAAUGUACACCAAGACAUAGUAUUAAAUAAAUUAUUCUCAUUCACAAAGAACAAGAAGCUAGGGUUUGUGUAAUUGAUUUAGUGGGAGUAUAUUUAAUUG